rnacentral:rRNA from 1 species
UACGGAGGGGGCUAGCGUUGUUCGGAAUACUGGGCGUAAAGCGCACGUAGGCGGCUUUGCAAGUCAGAGGUGAAAGCCCGGGGCUCAACCCCGGAAUAGCCCUUUGAGACUGCAUCGCUAGAAUUGUGGAGAGGUAAGUGGAAUUCCGAGUGUAGAGGUGAAAUUCGUAGAUAUUCGGAAGAACACCAGUGGCGAAGGCGACUUACUGGACACAUAUUGACGCUGAGGUGCGAAAGCGUGGGGAGCAAACAGG